UAACAAGGAUUCCCCUAGUAACUGCGAGUGAAGCGGGAAGAGCUCAAAUUUAAAAUCUGGCGGUCUUCUGAUCGUCCGAGUUGUAGUCUAGAGAAGUGUUAUCCGCGUCGGACCGUGUACAAGUCUCCUGGAAUGGAGCGUCAUAGAGGGUGAGAAUCCCGUCCAUGACACGGACGCCCGAUGCUUUGCGAGGCACUCUCGAAGAGUCGAGUUGUUUGGGAAUGCAGCUCAAAAUGGGUGGUAAAUUCCAUCUAAAGCUAAAUAUUGGCGAGAGACCGAUAGCGAACAAGUACCGUGAGGGAAAGAUGAAAAGCACUUUGGAAAGAGAGUUAAACAGUACGUGAAAUUGUUGAAAGGGAAACGCUUGAAGUCAGUCGCGUCUUGUGGAACUCAGCCUGGCCUCGGCCUGGUGUACUUUCCAUUUGACGGGUCAACAUCAGUUUCGGCCGGUGGAAAAAGGUGAAGGGAAUGUAGCGCCGCUUCGGUGGCGUGUUAUAGCCCUUUGCUGUAUACACUGGCUGGGACUGAGGACUGCAGCACGCCCUUGUGGCCGGGGGUUCGCCCCACGUAACGUGCUUAGGAUGUUGGCAUAAUGGCUUUAAGCGACCCGUCUUGAAACACGGACCAAGGAGUCUAACAUGCUUGCGAGUGUUCGGGUGGAAAACUCUUGCGCGUAAUGAAAGUGAAAGUUGGGAGCCUCCGCAAGGGGGUGCACCGACGCCCGGCCCUGACGUUCUCUGACGGUGCUGCGGUAGAGCAAGUAUGUUGGGACCCGAAAGAUGGUGAACUAUGCCUGAAUAGGGCGAAGCCAGAGGAAACUCUGGUGGAGGCUCGUAGCGAUUCUGACGUGCAAAUCGAUCGUCAAAUUUGGG
rnacentral:rRNA from 1 species